rnacentral:rRNA from 1 species
UACAGAGGGUGCGAGCGUUGUUCGGAAUUAUUGGGCGUAAAGGGCGCGUAGGCGUGCGGUAAGUCACCUGUGAAAUCUCCUGGCUCAACUGGGAGCUUGCAGGCGAAACUGCCGUGCUGGAGUGUGGGAGAGGUGCGUGGAAUUCCUGGUGUAGCGGUGAAAUGCGUAGAUAUCAGGAGGAACACCUGUGGCGAAAGCGGCGCACUGGACCACAACUGACGCUGAGGCGCGAAAGCUAGGGGAGCAAACAGG